UCGACUCCCCAAAUAAGCAGAAGUCAACAAGAAGAUGACGUCAUAAUGGAGGUCAAGCCCAGCCUAGGCAACCUAGCAGACCUCACUAAAUCUUAAAAAGUCAAUAAGAUGGGAUAUGGAAACACAGAAGACCUAGCAAAGUCAGAGGACAGAAAAAUGGAAGUAAAGUGUUCUGAUUUACUCUGCUGGUGGUGAGACAGUGAACCAGCUCGAAAUUGAACACAGACAAUUGGAGUCCAAGCUGCCAUGAUGUGAGCCAUACCUCCCUGCCACGAUGGACCAAAGCCUCUGAAAUAAAGAAUCAAGAAUGA